CGGGCGUCUUAACAUGCAAGUCGAACGGCAGCAUGACCUAGCUUGCUAGGUUGAUGGCGAGUGGCGAACGGGUGAGUAAUGCAUCGGAACGUGCCUUUUAGUGGGGGAUAACGUAGCGAAAGUUACGCUAAUACCGCAUAUUCUCUGAGGAGGAAAGCAGGGGACCUUCGGGCCUUGCGCUAGAAGAGCGGCCGAUGUCGGAUUAGCUAGUUGGUGAGGUAAAGGCUCACCAAGGCAACGAUCCGUAGCGGGUCUGAGAGGAUGAUCCGCCACACUGGGACUGAGACACGGCCCAGACUCCUACGGGAGGCAGCAGUGGGGAAUUUUGGACAAUGGGCGCAAGCCUGAUCCAGCCAUGCCGCGUGAGUGAAGAAGGCCUUCGGGUUGUAAAGCUCUUUCGGCUGGGAAGAAAUCGCACUCUCUAAUACAGGGUGUGGAUGACGGUACCAGCAUAAGAAGCACGGCUACUAC
rnacentral:rRNA from 1 species